rnacentral:lncRNA from 1 species
UGAGGUUGGGGCCAUCCUUUUUCUUCACCAUUACGUUGGUACUUGAUUCGGCCAGGUUCAUUUCGCCGGCUUUUCUUUUGGAUCUUCGCCUUCUCUGCUCUCUUCUCCACUGGGACCUCGUCAUGGGAUUCUUUCCUUUAUAGUUUUUGGACAUAUGUGCGGUCCUUUUGUCGGAUCAGAAUUCCUGGCGAUAGGCCAACGAUGAACCUCUUUCAACCUCAAACUUCUGCCACUUGUCAUGGCUACGUUUUCU